AGCAGCAGCCACGGGAAUACGGAGGGUGCAAGCGUUAAUCGGAAUUACUGGGCGUAAAGCGCACGCAGGCGGUUUGUUAAGUCAGAUGUGAAAUCCCCGAGCUUAACUUGGGAACUGCAUUUGAAACUGGCAAGCUAGAGUCUUGUAGAGGGGGGUAGAAUUCCAGGUGUAGCGGUGAAAUGCGUAGAGAUCGGGAGGAACAUCAGUGGCGAAGGCGGCCAUCUGGGACAACACUGACGCUGAGGCACGAAGGCGUGGGGAGCAAACAGGAUUAGAUACCCCUGUAGUCCCUGUCUCUUAUAC
rnacentral:rRNA from 1 species